GAUGAACGCUAGCGGCAGGCCUAACACAUGCAAGUCGAGGGGCAGCACAGAAACAGCAAUGUUUUGGUGGCGACCGGCGGACGGGUGCGUAACGCGUAUGCAACCUACCUUUAACAGGGGGAUAACGGAGAGAAAUUUCCACUAAUACCCCAUAACAUCGAUCAAGGCAUCUUGAUUGGUUGAAAACUCCGGUGGUUAAAGAUGGGCAUGCGUUGUAUUAGGUAGUUGGUGAGGUAAUGGCUCACCAAGCCUACGAUACAUAGGGGGACUGGGAGGUUAUCCCACCACUAUGGUACUGAGACACGGACCAGAAUCCUACGGGAGGCAGCAGUGAGGAAUAUUGGUCAAUGGGGGCAACCCUGAACCAGCCAUGCCGCGUGCAGGAAGACGGCUCUAUGAGUUGUAAACUGCUUUUAAACAGGGAUAAAGCACAGUAUGUAUACUGUGUUGAAGGUACUGUAAGAAUAAGGAUCGGCUAACUCCGUGCCAGCCGCCGCAGUAA
rnacentral:rRNA from 1 species